UACGUAGGUGGCAAGCGUUGUCCGGAUUUAUUGGGUUUAAAGGGUGCGUAGGCGGCCUAUUAAGUCAGUGGUGAAAUAUCUCAGCUCAACUGGGAAUGUGCCAAUGAUACUGAUGGGCUUGAGUACAGAUGAGGUAGGCGGAAUUGACGGUGUAGCGGUGAAAUGCUUAGAUAUCGUCAAGAACACCUAUAGCGAAGGCAGCUUACUAGGCUGUAACUGACGCUGAGGCACGAAAGUGUGGGGAUCAAACAGG
rnacentral:rRNA from 1 species